GUUUUCUUAAUAUAAUGCAUUUUGGUAUGUUGUUUUAAACUAAUAUGUUCAUUUUUAUUCACACCUCAGCCUGAUUUGUGCAUUUUUGUAAAUAUGGCUUGGUUGGAGAACUGCUUUGCAAAAUUUAGGUAAGUGUGGAUUUUGAAGGAUGGCUGUGUUUUGUUUCUCAUACUGUUUCAGAAAGUGCAAAUUUGCCUUGAAAUGUGAACUGAAUUUAAUUUCUCCCUCCUUCCCUAGCCAUUACAACCCCCAAACACCAACUUCAAGCCCACAACAGUAUUUUCUACCUGUUUGCCAGCUGCCCUCACCAAUUCCUUACCAAGUGUCUACCUUCAACAGAUCUGUUGGUCUUCACUUCUUAGAGAGGAUGAUCAAAAGAGGAGUAUCAAAAGUUUUCUGCACUCCACACUGUUUCCCCAUGAAUUCCCGAUGAAGUCACCAUUGUACACUUUUCAGGGGCCUAUUUGCCUCAACACUCUGGCCAUUUGAUCCAAUUUUUCUUUGUCUUUUCACACAGGCUGCUGAGUCAAUAAUAAUAAGCCACCUGAAUUCCAGGCAAACUGUAUGCAUUGCCAAAUUAUUCCACUGCUAGAAAAAUGAAAGAAAUGAAGGUAGGAAAAAUAGAUAGGAUGAACAUGCAGAAGGCCUCUCAGUAUUGGAGAAACGUGUUGCUUGAUAAUUUGCUGAAGUGUUCCUUGUGUUCUUUAUUCUGUUUUUAAAUCUCGAAGAGGCUGCUUAGUAAGAAAGAGUGUUUUGUGGUUGUUGGAUUUUAAUUUUUAAAAGUAUAUAUGGGGAAAAGCAGUGAAAUGUCAUUAAUAUCUUGGCAAGAUUGCUGAGGCUUUUUUGUGAAGUGGAAGGACAAAGGCAAAAAAAUAAUAAUGUGUCUGCAUAGUGAAGUUCAGAGGAAGUGGCAGUCUAAAAAAUAAUAAAUCUUUGAGGAAGUAGGUUUGCUAUAAAUAUUUCUCAUUCUUGGAAACUCAAUUUGAAGUCCAGAAGUUAAUGUACAACUUAAAAUUAGGGAAGUGGCAAUGGGGUGAGGACUGUCAAAGGAUCAUGAAGCCUUUCCUGUUUUUUAAAAACCUUCUUCUGAUGAAACAUGCAAAAGAUAGCCACGGAUUUGCGCUUUGCUGUCACAUACUCCCAAUAAAUAUACACAGUUCUUCACUGAGCUGGGUAGAUGCAGCCUGUUCAGGGAAUUCUGUUUCAAGCUAACCCAGGUGCACAGCACUGGGAUCUGAAGGCAAGGCAUAGGAGUUCUGCAGGCAAGUGCAAACAAAUCCCAGUGAAUGACUCACUGGGCUUAUAUUAAUUCCAGCAGAUAAUCAUCAGACCAGACUGAUGCAUCUGCAGGAAGGUCAUAGAGAAAGUACCCAGUUUCAUUAUUCCAAGGAACCCACUCAUCGUUAUCUAGAAGUUUCUUUUCAAAUCCACGUGUCUGAUCUUCCACCCCACUGGAUAUGCUUAGGGCUCAGCCAGGGCUGGGGCAAGAGAAAAAGUGUUCGGACAUGGUGCUUGAAAGCGUGGACCUGUGCCUAGAAACGUGGCACAAGAGGAAAUCUGGCUGAGCCCUUAGUCACAGCCACCUACAGUCCAGCCCUACUCAGAUGCUGGAAGGCACUUCUUGCUACAUAGAAGCAUGACUUUUCGGGCAUCAAACAUGGAUGUGUAUUAAUGGUUCUGCAUCUGGACUUAUAAUGAAGGAUGCAGGGUGAGUACUGAGUUGGGAAUCAUCCUGAUCCAUUUAGGCCAAUGGGGCAUUUCCUCACCAAACUCAACCUGCCCUCAGCCAGCCUCCACCUGUCUGCCUCAUUUCUUUCAACUGGUUCAGGAGAUGGUGCUGGUUGUUAGUAGAUAGGAGAGAGGAUGAGCAGGAGUGGGACGAACUCUAUGGUCUCCAUCUACUGUUGGCUUGCCUGCCUUUUCCCCUAUCAGCCCCAGUGGGCACUAGAUACCAUUGGGAUUGGUGCUUUCUGCGCAUUUAAAUUUGUUCUUGUGUCUUGUGUAAGGACGCGGGUGGCGCUGUGGGUUAAACCACAGAGCCUAGGGCUUGCCAAUCAGAAGGUCGGUGGUUCAAAUCCCCGUGACAGGGUGAGCUCCCGUUGCUUGGUUCCUGCUCCUGCCAACAUAGCAGUUCAAAAGCACAUCAAAGUGCAAGUAGAUAAAUAGGUACCACUCUGGCGGGAAGGUAAACGGCGUUUCCGUGUGCUGCUCUGGUUCGCCAGAAGCAGCUUAGUCAUGCUGGCCACAUGACUGUACACCGGCUCCCUCGGCCAAUAAAGCGAGAUAAGCGCCACAACCCCAGAGUCGGCCACGACUGGACCUAAUGGUCAGGGGUCCCUUUACCUUUUUACCGUCUUGUGUAUUUCUUCACGCUUGUGACUCCCACAUAUCCAAUAAAGUUUAGCUGACACCUGGCCAGAUUUAGCUGAAUUUCAUGCCUAGGUAUUUUUGGAGGGCAAAUGCAUUUAAGGCUUGCCUGGAUGAUUUUGUUUACAAAAAACAACAACACAUGAAUGAACAUUCACAAAUGUUUCUAAUGAAAUCCUCUCCAGCAGGUAGUUGGGUUAUAUCAUGAGUAGACAAAACAGUGCCUUCCAUAUGUUGAUGGACUACAAUCAUCCCUGACAAUUCACCAUGCUGGCUGGGACUGAUGGGAGUUGUAGUUUAACAAUAUCUGGGGAGCACCAUGUUGACCAGCUCCUAGCCUAUAUGAUUGUACAUAGUCACAGAAGAAGAAGAAGAGUUUGGAUUUGAUAUCCCGCCUUUCACUCCCUUUAAGGAGUCUCAAAGCGGCUAACAUUCUCCUUUCCCUUCCUCCCCCACAACAAACACUCUGUGAGGUGAGUGGGGCUGAGAGACUUCAGAGAAGUGUGACUGGCCCAAGGUCACCCAGCAGCUGCAUGUGGAGGAGCGGAGAUGCGAACCCAGUUCCCCAGAUUACGAGACUACCGCUCUUAACCACUACACCACCUGUCUUCAUCUAAAGACUAGUCUACAUCUUACUUUAUUCACAUGGAGGGUUGCUUCACAGUGGCAGCUUUCUAGGUGUUAUGUCAAGCAUGGCUUCUCAUGUGGCUUCUUCCCAUGUCAUGGGGAAUUUCCAUGGGUUGUAUCCAGGGAAGUCAAUGCACCCACAAAAUGACUUCCUUUCAAGCAACUGAAUGUCUCCUCUUCUGCCUCCUCCCCGCUCCCUCUCUCUCCGAAGUCUGCUCCAGAGGGUUGGGAGAACCCCCUAGAGUGGAUUGGGGUUGUUGCAUGCAGGAAGAGAGGGUGGGGAAGUUUCGCUGCGCAAGCAGAAGUGGUACUACAAGCAUAAUGACCCCAUGCCAGGAAGAAUCAUGUGACAAGUGACACCAGAUCUUACUGCCUACUUGUGGAGCAUUACCGUGCAGGACCACAUGGCUAGGAUCACAGGAUGGUUGUGAAAUACAAAGACAUUGGGCAGCUUGCAUCUUUGAGCCAGUAUCAGUGAAAUUAUUUCCAUCUCAGAAUUGGCAAGCUAAAAAUCAUGCAAUAUAAUUGUCAACAAAUACAGAAAUUCCAGAUGGGCACUAUGCCAUGGACACUGGGGAACUAGUUGACAUGGUAAAAGAUAAAGGUGAAGGACCCCUGGAUGGUUAAGUCCAGUCAAAGGCGACUAUGGGGUGUGGUGCUCAUCUCUCUUCAGGCCAAGGAAUCCAGUGUUUGUCCACAGACAGCUUUCCGGGUCAUGUGGCCAGCAUGACUAAACCGCUUCUGGCACAAUGGGACAUCGUGAAAAGUGCCCGAGUGCACGGAAACGCCGUUUACUUUCCUGCCGCUGCGGUACCUAUUUAUCUACUUGCACUGGUGUGCUUUUGAACUGCUAGGUUGGCAGUUGACAUGGACAGGCCACCAAAGAGUCAGUCAGAGCUGUGUUUCCCCCUCUUUGGCUAUUCUACCUGCAAAGAACAUAUGACUAUGUCAUAGUUCUGAUGCAUGCUAUUUUUCUCUGCUUUGGAGUUUAAAGCAUUAUGAAUCUAUAUGUGAGCUUUUUGUGUUAGCUGCAAGCAAAACACAAUUACACAUCUGAUGAAGCAGUUCCUGCAGCCUCUUGAAGGGAUGUUUUUCCUUGUCAUUUAAGUCAGGCAAUGAAUGCAUGGGCAGGAAGAAGCAUUUUUAUAAUGGCAUGUAAUGAAUGAGCAACUUACGUGAAGGCUAGCAGAGAACAUCAACAGUUAAUUAUCAACCCAGCUAGAAGCCUAGCGAGCUCUCUUCUAGCGUGUGGUGAGUGGGGACCCUGUUGCAACUGUUUCUUUAAUAAAGAUCAGGCUUACGAGCCGCUUUGCUUCUCAAUAUACUCUGGUUGGCCUAUGUUAUUUUCUCCUGCCGAUAGGAAACCCACUUAAGGACUCUAUACGGGCUCUGGAAUACCCCAUAAGGGAAAGGGAGCAGUUUUUCUUAUAACAAAUUCCUGACUUUUCACAGAGCACAAGGUCCUGAAAGAUUUGACCAACUCUAUCCCUCUGGAAGCACCUCCAACAUGGCCAAGAAGACAGAGACAAAAAGUUUCCUAUGCAGAGCCCAAGCUUUGAUGCUGAGUGUCCUUUUAUAAGACAGGGAACCGAAACACAGUUCAUGGGAAUCCUAUGCUGUCUCUGGCCUGAAACCUUGACUAACCUUGCUGGGGAUGCUGGUCAACCUCUGGAACACCCAAAUGGCUCUGGCUAUUGACACGAUUGCCCCUGAGCACCCUUUCCCACUUUGUGGAACCCCAUUGGCCCCCUGGUACACUCCAGAGCUUAGGGCGAGGAAACAAGCUGGGAGACGGCUUGUGGAGGAAAGAUCUGAAUGAAUGCAACCGAACACUGGUAAGGGCUCAUUAUCAAGCCUACCUAGUAACAGUGAAGGCAGCAAAGAAGGCAUACUUUACUCACCGGCCAGGUUGCUCACCGGAGCAAGACGGUUUGAGCAUAUUACACUGAUCCUGGUCCAACUGCACUGGCUACCAAUUAAUUUCUGGACCCAAUUCAAAGUGCUGGUUUUGACCUAUAAAGCCUUAAACAUCUCAGGACCACAACACCUCAAGGACCGCUUCUUUCCAUAUGAACCUACCUGGACCCUGAGAUCAUCUUCUGAGGCCCUCCUUUGUGUGCCCCCUCCUUGAGAGGUCUGGAGGGUGGCAACACAAGAAUGGGCCUUCUCUGAAGUGGCUCCUCGUCUGUGGAAUGCUCUCCCCAGGAAUAUUUGCCUGGCGCCUUUGUUAUACACCUUUAAAUGUUCCUUUUUAACCAGGCCUUUGGUUGGUCUGAUUUACAUCCUAUGCCCUUUUAAAAUGUGUUGUCAUGUUUUAAUUUCUUUUACUGUUAAUUUUUAUUGUCUUUUAUUGUUUUUAACUGUUUUUGUUGAUAAUUUUAAUAUUGGUUGUAAACUGUUUAG